UACGUAGGGUGCGAGCGUUAAUCGGAAUUACUGGGCGUAAAGCGUGCGCAGGCGGCGCGUUAAGACAGGUGUGAAAGCCCCCGAGCUUAACUUGGGAAUUGCGCUUGUGACUGGCGUGCUGGAGUGUGGCAGAGGGAGGUGGAAUUCCACGUGUAGCAGUGAAAUGCGUAGAGAUGUGGAGGAACACCGAUGGCGGAAGGCAGCCUCCUGGCGAGCCACUGACGCUCAUGCACGAAG
rnacentral:rRNA from 1 species